rnacentral:rRNA from 1 species
UACGGAGGGUCCGAGCGUUAUCCGGAAUCAUUGGGUUUAAAGGGUCCUUAGGCGGGACAUUAAGUCAGGGGUGAAAUGUUGCAGCUCAACUGCAGAAUGGCCUUUGAUACUGGUGUUCUUGAGUUAUGUUGCUGUGGUCGGAACAUGUGGUGUAGCGGUGAAAUGCAUAGAUAUCACAUAGAACGCCGAUUGCGAAGGUAGGUCACAAAGCAUAUAAUGACUAUGAGGGACGAAAGCGUGGGGAGCGAACGGG